GACGCGAAGGCGUCACCGGGCGCGCCGGGUCAGAUGCAAAAAGCAUCCGCCCCGGAACCGGUUACCAGUGCGAAGGGCCGGGAGGCUGGGCAGUCCUGGUGCCCGCCUUGGCCUAGCCCCGGCCCCGGGACGGAAGGGGGCCUCUGGGGUGGCAGCCUGGGCCCAGUAGAGCUUUGCAUCUCUUGGAUAUCUUUCCCGGGCGCAGAAGCUGCGGGGCUUAGGGAGUCGCCAUUGCGCUGGAAAGUCCUCCCGCCCACGGAGACCCCAGCAAACUCCGAGUGUCACACAGUCGCCUCUGGCGACCCGUGCGGGCCGGAGCCGUUCGCGCACAGGCAGGGCGGGUGCUGAGCGUGGAAACGGGGCUGGAAUUGGCCGAGCCAUGCCUUUCCGGGAUGCCCACCGCCAGUCAAAGGGUUGGGGGUGGUCUCUGCACCUUAAGUACUAACCUGCCGCCCACGCGCCUCCUGACCACAGCACCCCGUCGGCUUUCUAAUUCUGUGAGCUGCCCUCGUGGGCGUGGCCUCCCUGUGGAGCUCCCCAUGUGCCUCCCCUUGGUCCAGCCUGCAGCUAGGAAGUGGGUCACAGCGACGGGGCUGGGCUGGGCCAGGCCAGGCUCCGGGAGAUGUGGAAUUGGCGAAACAACUGCCCCAGUAGUAUCCUCCGCCUAGGACUCCAAGAGGUGGCGAAUUGGGGCACUACGCCCGGGAACCAGGGUGGCAGGGCUAGAUGUCCUCUCACCAGACUGCCCAGUGAAGGUGCUGUCACUUUGAUGAAUUAUCAAGGCUUUGUAGUGGGUCUUCUACUGGACAAAGGACAAACUGGAGACUCCCUGGAUCAAAUGUGUUGGUGAGGCACUGAAUCUGAUUGCUGAAAGGUGAUUCAGCUGCAAGUUAGGCAUCAGUUUAGGGUUUUCUAGGCUUGGCAUCUAAAGGGAGUGCCUGCUGUAGCUGAAACCUCAUAGGCCUUCUCUUCCUUCCGAAUUGUUUUCAAGGCCUUGGGGGUACAGAGACUUAGAGAAAAUACAUAGUUGUGCCUCAGACUGAUGGGCCUCAUCUGUUUAAUGGAGAAACACCAAGCACACUCAGUCUGGGCGGAAUUUUAGAGCUCCAUAGUAUAACCACUAUCUAGCUACAUGUGGCAAUUGAGCAUUUGAAAUGUGGCUAGACUGAAUUGAAAUGUGCUGUAUAAAAUAUACACUUAAUUUCAAAGACAAUAUUUUUAAAAUGUAAAAUAUUUCAGUAAUUUAAAAAUAUGGUUUAAAUAUUUUAGAUAUGUUGGGUUAAAUAAAAUAUAUUAGUAAAAUAUUUCACUUGUUUUUUGACCUCUUAAAUGUGGCUGCUAGAAAAUGUUAUAGUGCUGUCAGGAAGUGCUGUUCUGGAAUACAGAAUGUGGCUGCCGUGAGUGGAGUGUGACUAUGAGAUAGUCGCCUGACUGGAGACAAUGAAGCCUCAGGCCAAGGUAAGAGGGCUGACAAGGAAGAACUGGCACAACUAGAGCCGAAUGUUUGGGGGAGGUAUAUGUCUGCCAAAAAAUGAAUAUAAUUUCAGGUGACUCAAUAGAAGUGGAGGGAUCAGUUUCUCUUGUUCUGCCCUGCUCUUAUCUAGGUAACUCUUACUUUUCCUUUAGGUCAGGGUUCUUCUAAGCCAGAAAACCUUCACUGACUUAAGUGCACUCCUUUCUAUGUUUGCAUAGAUCUCUUUCUUAACUUUACCCCAUUAUAGUAAAAUUAUGUUUUCACAUUUGCCUUUAUACCCAAACCUCCACCAAAAUAUUGUGAGCUCUCUGAGGGUAAGGACUUUGUCUUAUUAUUGUUAUACCUGGAGACAGAUUAAAACAAUAUGAUGUUUGUGGGGACCAGGGAAAAGGGGAAUGGGAGAGGCUCCUCUGGUUAGUCUAAAAGAAAAGUAUCAGGCACCUACUUGAAUCCUCAUUUGAUUUCUUUCUGACCAUGAGAGGGGAUGCUGAGAUGCCCAAAGAUGUGCAAAUGGCGGGAUCCGGCGCACCAUAGUAGGCAGGGGAGUGAAGAUUUCUCACCUCGGGUCUUCCUAGACCUUCAGGUCACACGGGAAUUGUUCUGUUUAUAGACGGCGCUGGCCUUAGUACUCACUCUCCCUCUAUUUUCCUUGCUUCCUUAUAACUAGGUUUCCCUACUCACUUCCUCAAAAAGAGUGAUGUAGGUCCACGUGUACCCUCCCAACUGGCCUGGGUCCUCUCCCUUCUUUGUAAGGCCUGAAAAAUUCCCUGGUGGGGGAUGGUUAGAAAAGGAAGAGGAACCUUCUUUGUAAGUGUGCAAGUCAGAAGGGGAGGGAGAAAAGUGACAAUUUAUAUAUCUGGGACAAAUAUAUCUUGGACCCAGGUUUUGCCACCUGUCUGCAUCCCCCCAUGCCCUUUCCCCUCCAGUGAUCAAAUAGCUCUCUGGAUGCCCCUUAAUUCUUCCACCCCAUCCAUUCUGAUCUACCCAGCACUUGCCUAGGCAACACCAGUCCAGGAGAACAAAUGGAGUUAUGCACAACAUUGGUGAUUUCCUUGUAUUGUGGCUCCAGUGGUUAUGGCUGGGGACACACACAUCCUUCCAGUUAUUUCUGAGCAUACUCUGGAAACGUCUUAUGAGCCCUCUUCUUUAUUGUGUGCACCCACUAGGAUGCUCCCUCCUACUCAGCCCUGUUUAGUGGGAUUUUUCAGCCCACUGUAAAGCCUACUGCUGCCUGUAAAGCCACCUAAGUGCAUCACUUGCUGGUGUUCACCAUGAUAACAACAAUUUAUGGGGACAGAAUAUGUUUCUAGAGCUGCUGGUGCCACUGCUGAUGUUACUGGGUUCCCUGAAAUAAAACACCACAGUGCAGGUGAGUACCAAAGUGGGGAGAAUUUUUAGUUCCUUUUAGAGGUGCUAAAUCAAUAUUGUUGAUUUCCCAGUACCUUAGAAUAUUUAAUGAAAACAGGUCAGGUGCAGUGGCUCACGCCUGUAAUCCCAGCACUUUGGGAGGCCAAGGCAGGUAGAUCACUUGAGGUCAGGAGUUCAAGAACAGCCUGGCCAACAUGGUGAAACCCCAUCUCUACUAAAAAUACAAAAAUUAGCAGGGCGUGGUGGCAGGCACCUGUAAUCCCAGCUACUCCGGAAGCUGAGGCACCAGAAUCGCUUGAACUCAGGAGGCGGAGGUUGUAGUGAGUCGAGAUCAUGCCACUGCACUCCAGCCUGGGCGCAUGGUGGCUCAUGCCUAUAAUCCCAGCACUUUGGGAGGCUGAGGCAGUCAGAUCACUUGAGGUCAGGAGUUCAAGAACAGCCUGACCAACAUGGUGAAACCCCAUCUCUACUAAAAAUAGAAAAAGUUAGCCAGGCGUGGUGGCAGGCGCCUGUAAUCCCAGCUACUCAGGAGGCUGAGGCAUAAGAAUCCUUGAACCCAGGAGGCGGAGGUUGCAGUGAGCUGAGAUUGCACCAUUGCACUCCAGCCUGGGCAACAAUAGCGAAACUCCGUCUCAAAACAAACAAACAAACAAAACAAAAAAACUUAAUGAAUACAGUCCCUCCUAAGAUUUUCAAAUAAAUGAAAUACCACAUUAAUCAUAUUGUUUUAUUUUUAUCAUUACAUUAAAAAUCAAAUAGUAUCACUAGGUUUAUAAUGAAAAACAGCAGACCCUGUCCCAGCCCUCCACACUCUCAGUUUCUACUCCCUAGAUAUAAUCUCUAUUCACCCAGCUACCUCUUCUGGUAUUUAUCUCCGUAUUUCUAAAUAGCAUGCUUAUACUACUAAUUCUUAAUUUUUCAGUUUGGGCCAUUAUUUUACUUUUUCUAUAGGAAAUAAGAUAUGUGUUUAUACUCUGAAGACUGGUAAUACACACAUGUAUUUCUCCAUCUUCCAUCCUUCAGUUUAUCUAUAUCACCCUAUAUAGGUAGAGUACUAUUCAUUAUACUAUUAUAAAGGUAUGUAAUUGAUCCAGUUAGCAUAAUAUGAUUAUAUUUCCUUUAUUUUGAUUGAAGUUAACUAUUGCCUCUUUCUCCAUGCAACUUUCUUAAGUACCUAGCAUUCAAGUGUCUAUAAUCAAUUUAUUCCAAACUGUCCUUUCAAAACAUUGAAACACAUCAAGUAGUCUAUCAAUCAGUUUAUUUUUUAAAUUGGAGACAACUCUCUAGGAGCCCAUCAUCCUCCUUCACUGUGGACUAGUUUUUCUCUAAGCCUACUGCACAGCUUUUGUCCUGAAAUAAUUUUAUCCUUUCUACCCUGUUUUCCACUUCUUUUUGUUUUUCUGAAAGAUUUCCACCUUCCAGCUUUUCUUUUGAAUUUUAAAAUUUCUGUUAUGUUUUAAAUUUGCCAGAAUACUUUCUUGUCAACCUCUCUUUUAAUUAAAAAUAUUUUUUAUUUUUGUAAUUUAAAGGUUUAUUGUAAAUUGACAAGUACAAAUUGGAUAUAUUUAUGGGGUACAAAGUGAUGUUAUAUGUAUACAAUGUGGAAAGAUUAAAUCAAGCUAAUUAACAUAUCCAUCACUACAAAUACUUCUUUGUGGUGAGAAUACUUGACAUUUACCUUCAGCAAUUUUGAAAUAUACAGUACAUUAUUAUUAACCAUGCUAUACUCUUUAUCUCAAAAAAUGUAUUCCCUUUAUCUAACUGAAACUUCGUACUCUAACCAACAUCUCCUUGUUUCCCCUACCACCCCUUCCCCCUACUCUCUGAUAACCAUCAUUCUACUCUGAUUCUGUGAGUUUGUUUUAGAUUCUACAUUAGGAAUCAUGUGACUUUGUCUGUCUGUGCCUGGCUUAUUCCAUUCAGCAUAACGUCCUCCAGGGAAGCACUUUCUUGUCCACCCCCUUCCCCUUUUUAAAUAGCAGUCUGUUCCAUUUGGUGGAUGCAGUAUCUUAUUACUCUAAGAAUAUUGCUAAUGUUUUCUUUUGUUUCUUGAAUUGUCUGUGUUGAAUUUUUAAGGCUUGUUUCUGUUUUGUGUUGGAAGCUUUUCUUAAACGUCUAGAGAUCCUUGGCCAUCCAUUCAUAUGUAAGAGUGGGGCACUAGAAAGCCAAUAGAAAGUUCUGUGUACACUGGCCAGUGAGGUGGCUCACACCUGUAACCCCAGCACUUUGGAAGGCCAAGGCAGGCAGAUCACUUGAGGUCAGGAGUUCAAGACCAGCCUUGCCAACAUGGUGAAACCCCAUCUCUACUAAAAAUACAAAAAUUAGCCGGGCUGGUGGCGCACGCCUGUAAUCCUUGCUACUUGGGAGGCUGAGGCUUGAGAAUCUCUUGAACCCGGGAGGCAGAGGUUGCAGUGAGCUCUCCAGCCUAGGCAACAGACCAAAACUCUGUCUCAAAAAAAAAAAAAGUUCUGUGUACAUACUUAGGACUUGUAAUUGGUAGGACAUACUGCAGUAUUUUUCAAACUUCUGGUCGCAAACCCAUUAGUAGUUUGUGAAAUCAAUAUAAUCAGUUUUAUUUCCCCCAAAUGACAGAACAGAAUAGAAAACACCACCUCAGAAUACAUCUACAUAGAAAGAGAAUUAUUUUAUGAAACUUUGGUUUCUUACACAUAUCAUAUAUACAUAUUAUGUACUGGUUUGAUCCCAUAAAAUGGGAGUUUUUUUUUUUUAUUGUGGGUGUUUCUUCAAAGAAAUUUGAAAAAGUACAACUUAGGAUAAUCAAAGAGAUCUCCAACUGUCAGGACAGGUAGGUCUUUUCUCUUAGAGAGGUUAAGUUCCGGCCCAGUGCGGUGGCUCAUGCCUGUAAUCCCAGCACUUUGGGAGGCUGAGGCGGGCAGAUCAUGAGGUCGGGAGAUUGAGACCAUCCUGGCUAACAUGGUGAAACCUCAUCUCUUCUAAGAAUACAAAAAAUAAGUCAGGCAUGGUGGCACGCGCCUGUAAUCCCAGCUACUCGGGAGGCUGAGGCAGGAGAAUCAUUUGAACUCGGGAGGCGGAGAUUGCCACUGCACUCCAGCCUGGGCGACAGAGCAAGACUCCGUCUCAAAAAAAAAAAAAAAAAAACGGAGAUAAGUUCUCCUGGAGUAAAAUUCUCUAAACUUUUGCCUGCAUGCUAGUCUGAUAGACAGUACUCAUUCAUUCAGGUAUUGGUUGAGGACUUACUAUGUGCCAAACACUGUUCCAGGUUCUGGGUAUACAUCAGACAAAACUGUCUCCUGGGACUAGAUUCUAGUGAGGGAGAUAAACAGUGGGUUAUAUAGUAUUUAGAUCUUGCGCUAGGUAACACAGCAACAGAAGGGAAAGCUGAACAUAUGCAUAUAGAUGCUGGUAAGAGGGUGGAUGUGGUGGAUGAAUGAAGUAGAAAACAAGGUCAUCAUCUGAGAGUGAAAAUGGGGAGGAAGUGUUGGAAGAAAAGAGAAGGUGUGAAAUAAUUUAGGACACAGCACAGCAAACUAUAGCCUUUGGUCAAAUCCUAUUUUGGUGCAAUCCACAAGCUAAGGAUACUUUUUUACUUUUAAACGGUUGGGAAAAAAAUUUAAGAUGAUAUUACAUCAUAGCAUGUAACAAAUAAAUGCAAUUCAAAUUUCAUUUAUUUACAUAUUGCCUCUGGCUACUUUCAUGCUACAGUGACAAAGCUGAAUAAUUGCAAAAGAGACUAUGACCUGCUAUGCCAAAAAUAUUUAUCUGGCCCUUUACAGAAAAAGUUGGCUGACUCCUGAUCUAGGAGGAUGGGAAGGUAUAUAGAGUAGGGAAAUAUGAUUAUCAGGCAGCAUUAAGGCCUGAAGGUUAUGGACAUGAAUUUAAAGUAAGACUAAACAGCAUAGUUGCUGCACAGAAGUAGGUACAAAGGCAAAGAGCUGGCUUUAAAGUUGUGAUUUUGCAAACUGAAAAUGACAAAAAGGGGUAGACUAAGUUAAAAGUACAUGCAAGUUGCAUGAUUAUAAUGAGUGAUCCUGGGAUUUAAGUUGAUUAUGACAGGAACAGAAGGAACUUGGAGAUUAGGGACAAUGAAAAGGUGGUAGUGAAAGGAGUGUUGGAGUUAAGUUACUAGAUGUCUGGAAGACAGACUGUGGUGGUCAGAUAAUGAGAUAGAUUAUGGAGGGGUUACAGUUUUUGGUAAUAACGAGAGAGAUCUAAGGUAUGACUGAGAGUGAAUGGAUGAGAAUAGCAGAGAACAAGGUCAGUGGAAAACUACUCUUCAAAGAACCUAUAGUCAGGGUGUUGAAAGAUUAAAAAUUGCUAAGAAUUAAAUCAGGAGUAGUGCUGCGGGAAAUGAAAUGAGCAGUGAACUAAACUUACUGAGAAAUGAGAGGGGAUGACCCAGGGGUUUGUAGAUUUUGUAGAUGAUAGCAAUGAAGAGAAGAGAUAUUAUUUGAUGGUAUGGAACUCAAAGCUGAGAGUUUUAAGGGAAGAUAGGAGACGUGUCUAGAAGUAGUAAUGAGGAGCAAGAACAUCAUCUACCCCAUCUCCAGGACCAGUAAUAGGAGGACUGUGGGAGAAAAAAAUCACCUUGAGAGGGCUGUAGUGAAAGCAGUAUCCUAAGGUAGCAGCCAAGUUUCAGACUGCUGGGAUCCAAGCCAGGGAAAGGUUUCUGACUCUUUAGAAUGCUGAGCUUUAGGCUGGGCACAGUGGCUCACGCCUGUAAUCCCAGCACUCUGGGAGGCCAAGGUGGGCAGAUCACUUGAGUCCAGGAGUUCAAGACCAGCCCAGGCAACAUGGUGAAAUCCCAUCUCUACACAAAAUACAAAAAUUACCCAGGUUUGGUGGUUCAUGCCUGUAGUCCCAGCUACUCAAGAGACUGAGGUGGAGAAUCACUUGAGCCCAGGAGGUUGAGGCAGCAGCAAGCCAUGAUCACACCACUGUACUCCAGCCUGGGCAACAGAGUGAGACCCUGUCUCAAAAAAACAAACAGAAUGCUGAGUUUUAAAUCCCUAUAUUCAGUAGGAUGUCUCCCCUCAGCUCCCAGUUGUUGUUGGUGGCUUCAACUAGUUCAUCUUCCCCAGGAGAUAAUGAAUGAACAAAUGAAUGAAUGAAUGAAUGAGUUUAUAAGGGGCGAGGAUCUCAGGACUUCAUAGUCUUUCAAGUAAUCAUCUUGUUUUUAGCCCUCUACCUACUACCUCUUGCUUUUCAGAUAACUGAUGCCUCCAAUUCCUAAGCCUUUUCUGGGGUUCUGUGGUACAAACAUGCUUGCUUAUUGCUAGUAACACUCCACCAGCCCCUGCCCCAGACUUCUGCUUUCUCUGGUCUACUCAGUUUGUUCCUUGUUUUUUGCUUUCCGGAUUCAAAGAUUUUGUUGACAUUGCCUGGAUGCUGCCAUCUUUUGUCUCAUAUUCUUUGUCCUUAAUCAUUUAACAUUCCUUUACUGUCAUUUUAAUGGCAUUUCAGGAGGAAGCCAUGUUUCUAGUCCACCGUUCUUUUUUGUUGUUUUUGAGACAGAGUCUUACUCUGUCACCCAGGCUGGAGUGCAGUAGCAUGACCUCAGCUCACUGCAACCUCUGCCUCCCGGGUUCAAGCGAUCCUCCCACCUCAGCCUCCCGAGUAGCUGGGACCACAGGCAUGCGCCACUACAACUGGCUAAUUUUUGUAUUUGUAAGUAGAGAUGAGGUUUCUCCAUGUUGGCCAGGCUUGUCUUGAAUUCCUGGCCUCAAGUGAUCCACCCACCUCAGCCUUCUAAAGUGCUGGGAUUACAGGCAUGAGCCACCACACCGGGCCAAUCCACUGUUUUUUAAAAAGUUGUCAAGAGUUUUGUUAAGGGGUCAGACAUGUCUGACUGGUUGACUUUUCCCAGAAUGCUGCUUAGUCCCUCAAACACACAAAUUCCUGAUGGGUCCACCCACUAGGCUUCUGGUAUACACAGACAGAUCUGAAUCCCAGUGGUGGAAACAACCUAGGCUGAUUCUGAGUUUCCCACUGCAUUUCUUCUUCUAAUUGUCCCUCUUUUCCAUUCCUGUCCUUUCCCUCAUCCCUUACCUGCUGAAAAUGAAUCUUACCAUUUCUAAAAUUCCACUCUUCCGGGGGCAUCCACAGCUGGAUCCUCUUCUUCACUGCCAUUCCUCAGGCCUUAGAACAGGUCCCCUUCUUACACCCUUGUGCUCCAACUGGUCUUUAUGAAACCUGUUCACUUCAAUAUACUUUUAGGCCAGGCUCACGCCUGUAAUCCCAGCACCUUGAGAAGCUGAGGCCGGUGCAUCACUUGAGGUCAGGAGUUCGAGACCAGCCUGGCCAACAUGGUGAAACCCUAUCUCUACUAAAAAUACAAAUAUAUAUACAUAUGCCAGGCAUGGUGGCAUGUGCCUGUAGUCCCAGCUACUCAGGAGGCAGAGGCACGAGAAUCACUUGAAUCCAGGAGGCGGAGGUCGCAGUGAGCCGAGAUUGUGCCACUGCACUCCAGCUUGGGCAACAGAGCAAGACUCCGUCUCCAAAAUAUAUCUUAUCUAUAUAUAGAUAUAGAUAGGUAUAUAUAGAUCUAUAUAUAGAUAUAUACUUUCAAUUCUCCAAUUGUUCCCGUAUACCAUAGAGAAACUCUUAUGAGCUCAGUUUCUGCAGGACUUACAAAACAGGGUAAUUGCCUCCUCAUUAUGGUCAGCUCCAGCACCAUUCAAAUUCUCUGUCCUUACCCAUUUCCAGAACAAGCAGGAUGAAAAUCACUUAUCACUAUAGCACCCACCCUUAAGCACAAGGUUAUCCAAUGUUUUCAAGGAGUCCAGCAUUUCAUAACAGAACCCCCUGAUUAGUUUGCUAACUGAUGAAAGCAGAGUUAAAUUCCUGUUAUGCAGGUUUAGAGUACAGGAGAUUCUAUGUCCCCAUAUCCUCUGCCCCCCAAUCUAUCCCUUGGCAAACACAAGUACCUCUACUAGAAUAACCAUACUCCCUCUUCCCAACCCACUUCUCUUGUUUAAGGGCACUGGCAGUGUUUGUGUAUGUCAACAACAUCGGAGUAUCUGGGGUCCCUGGAGAGUUAGAUUUUCUGUAUUAAUUACAGACUGGGAGAUUACUCUGGCUCCAGUAAAAGCAAUACCAGGAUUGAAGUCCCCUCUCUGAUUAUGGUGGCUGGGAUUUGCUGGAAGAGGCAUAGGUCCAGAAAAGAAUGUAAAAAAGGUACUAGAAAGAAAGAAUAAGGCCUAUAGCCAUCAGGCUGCUAGAACCUUUGGACAAGUCACUAUCUAAAAGCAGGUAAAGACCCAGCUUUUUGUCCAUCUGGUCAGGCACCUGGUGGCGUGAGUCUUUCAGAACAUACUGGUCAGGCGGUGGCUCACGCCUGUAAUCUCAGCACUUUGGGAGGCUGAGGCAGGAGGAUCACUUGAGGUAAGGAGUUGGAGACCAGCCUGGCCAACAUGGUGAAACCCUGUCUCUACUAAAAAUACAAAAAUUAGCCAGGUGUGGUGGCGGGCAUAUGUAGUCCCAGCUACUUGGGAGGCUGAGGCAAGAGAAUCGCUUGAACCCAGGAGUCGGCAGUUGCAGUGAGCCGAGAUCACACCACUGCACUCCAGUCUGGAUGGUAAAGUGAGAACCCAUCUCAAAAAAAAAAAGGAACAUACCACAACCCUUCAAUAAAAAGGUCUCUGAGAAAACAGUUGUCACAAUGUCCAUGUACUUGUACUUGACACCAUGUGAGAAACAGCCUCCAGUAGGUCACUGGCCAGACAGGUGAGUAUGAAAUAGGACAACACUGUAUUAUAGCUCAGGAUGCAUUGAUAAUAGAAGUUUGAAGCAGCAGCUGACAGACGAGUCUAAGCAAUAACACACAGACUAGUUUGUCUCUGCUCUUGAGAACAGCAGCCUGCAACCCUUCAAACAAGCCAUAAUGUGUGAGUCAACAAGAAGCUACAUUUGAUUGACAAUGCCAUUUUAAUAAAGAUGUUCUAGAGUCAAAGAAUUUGGCGUGAGAAAUUGUGCCCAGGCUGGGGUGCAGUGGUGUGAUCAUAGCUCACUGCAGCCUCUGAGCUCCUGGGCUCAAGGGAUCCCCCUGCCUUAGCCUCUGAAGUAGCUGGGACUACAGGCAUGCACCACUGUGCCCAGCUAAUUUUUAAUUUUUUUGUAAAGAUAGGGUCUCAUUAUGUUUCCCAGGCUGGUCUCGAACUCCUGGCUUCAAGUGAUCCUCCCACCUUGGACUCCGAAAGUGCUGGGAUGUGCUCAAUAUUAAAUGUCAUGAAGAUACUGUUAAAAUAAUAAUUGUGCUCAAUAGUUGUAUCUUUAUACUAUUCUGAGCCUUAGGUUUCUUUUCUGUAAAACUGAACAAUACUACCUUCUUUGCAGGGGAUAGCAUAGUCCCUGGUUUACAGUAAAUGCUUUCCUCCAAUUGAAUCAAGAUAUACCUCUCUGCUACCUCCCCAUCUAUUAGAAAUGCUUGCCUUCUGGUACCAGAAAAAAAAAAAAAACACCUUCCACAUGACAACUCUGAAGACAAUAAUCACACUACCAUUGUGUUUUUCUGGAUGUGCCACACAUUGUAUACAUGUCCCUGCCUUACAAAUGACAUCUCCUAUACACAGAGUCCUUAAUAUUUCUACAUGCAAUGUAUAAUCAAUUAAAACAUCAGUAUCAUCUUAAUGUGAAUUUCUGUUAAUCCAAGUUCUCCCCCACUAUGCAAGUGCAAUAAAUAUUUAAAAAUGAAGGUAACAAUAUAUAUAUAUAUUUUUUUGAGACAGAGUCUCGCUCUGUUGUCCAGGCUGGAGUGCAGUGGCGUGAUCGCGGCUCACUGCAAGCUCCACCUCCCGAGUUCAUGCCAUUCUCCUGCAUCAGCCUCCUGAGUAGCUGGGACUACAGGUGCCCACCACCACUCCCAGCUAAUUUUUUGUAUUUUUAGUAGAGACAGGGUUUCACUGUGUUAGCCAGGAUGGUCUCCAUCUCCUGACCUUGUGAUACACCCCUCUCGGCCUCCCAAAGUGCUGGGAUUACAGGUGUGAGCCACCGUGCUUGGCCAACAAUAUAUAUUCUUAACUGUGUAAAUUUUAAUUUGUUGGUUUUAUUCUUUUGAGAUUAUUAUGAAUAUUGAUUCUGUCAUUCAUCGCUUAAGGACCAGGCAGGUGAACCACUUGACAUUUUUUAUCAUCAGAAUAAAUUGACAAAAACAAAACAAAAUACUUUGAGGUGGAAUGGAAGUAUCUUGAGUAGUAGUAAAACCAUAGUUCUAGAUGGUGAUAAUCAUUGUCAUAAUGAAAGCGUGUUGCUUGUUGACUAUUUAACCAUGCUGUUUAAGUCAUAUUAAAAACAUCAAUACGUCCCUCUCCCUCUCCCCUCUCCCCUCUCCCCUCUCCCCUCUCCCCUCUCCCCUCUCCCCCUUCCCACGGUCUCCUUCCACGGUCUCCCUCUGAUGCCGAGCCAAAGCUGGACGGUACUGCUGCCAUCUCGGCUCACUGCAACCUCCCUGCCUGAUUCUCCUGCCUCAGCCUGCCGAGUGCCUGCGAUUGCAGGCGCGCGCCGCCACGCCUGACUGGUUUUCGUUUUUUUUUUUUUUGGUGGAGACGGGGUUUUGCUGUGUUGGCCGGGCUGGUCUCCAGCUCCUAACCGCGAGUGAUCCGCCAGCCUCGGCCUCCCGAGGUGCCGGGAUUGCAGACGGAGUCUCGUUCACUCAGUGCUCAAUGGUGCCCAGGCUGGAGUGCAGUGGCGUGAUCUUGGCUCGCUACAACCUCCACCUCCCAGCCGCCUGCCUUGGCCCCCCAAAGUGCCGAGAUUGCAGCCUCUGCCCAGCCGCCACCCCGUCUGGGAAGUGAGGAGCGUCUCUGCCUGGCCCCCCAUCGUCUGGGAUAUGAGGAGCCUCUCUGCCUGGCUGCCCAGUCUGGAAAGUGAGGAGCGUCUCUGCCCGGCCGCCAUCCCAUCUAGGAAGCGAGGAGCGCCUCUUCCCCGCCGCCAUCCCAUCUAGGAAGUGAGGAGCGUCUCUGCCCGGCCGCCCAUCGUCUGAGAUGUGGGGAGCACCUCUGCCCCGCCGCCCUGUCUGGGAUGUGAGGAGCGCCUCUGCUGGGCCGCAACCCUGUCUGGGAGGUGAGGAGCGUCUCUGCCCGGCCUCCCCGUCUGAGAAGUGAGGAAACCCUCUGCCUGGCAACCGCCCCGUCUGAGAAGUGAGGAGCCCCUCCGUCCGGCAGCCACCCCGUCUGGGAAGUGAGGAGCGUCUCCGCCCGGCAGCCACCCCGACCGGGAGGGAGGUGGGGGGGGGGUCAGCCCCCCGCCCGGCCAGCCGCCCCGUCCGGGAGGUGAGGGGCUCCUCUGCCCGGCCGCCCCUACUGGGAAGUGAGGAGCCCCUCUGCCCGGCCAGCCGCCCCGUCCGGGAGGGAGGUGGGGGGGUCAGCCCCCCGCCCGGCCAGCCGCCCCGUCCGGGAGGUGAGGGGCUCCUCUGCCCGGCCGCCCCUACUGGGAAGUGAGGAGCCCCUCUGCCCGGCCAGCCGCCCCGUCCGGGAGGGAGGUGGGGGGAUCAGCCCCCCGCCUGGCCAGCCGCCCCGUCCGGGAGGUGAGGGGCGCCUCUGCCCGGCCGCCCCUACUGGGAAGUGAGGAGCCCCUCUGCCCGGCCAGCCGCCCCAUCCGGGAGGGAGGUGGGGGGGUCAGCCCCCCGCCCGGCCAGCCGCCCCAUCCGGGAGGGAGGUGGGGGGGUCAGCCCUCCGCCCGGCCAGCCGCCCCAUCCGGGAGGGAGGUGGGGGGGGUCAGCCCCCCGCCCGGCCAGCCGCCCCGUCCGGGAGGGAGGUGGGGGGAUCAGCCCCCCGCCUGGCCAGCCGCCCCGUCCGGGAGGUGAGGGGCGCCUCUGCCCGGCCGCCCCUACUGGGAAGUGAGGACCCCUCUGCCUGGCCAGCCGCCCCGUCCGGGAGGGUUGGGGGGGGGUCAGCCCCCCGCC
rnacentral:lncRNA from 1 species